CAGGGAAUCUUGCACAAUGGGCGAAAGCCUGAUGCAGCGACGCCGCGUGGGGGAUGAAGGCCCUAGGGUCGUAAACCCCUUUCAGCAGGGACGAAAAUGACGGUACCUGCAGAAGAAGCCCCGGCCAACUACGUGCCAGCAGCCGCGGUAAGACGUAGGGGGCGAGCGUUGUCCGGAUUUAUUGGGCGUAAAGAGCUCGUAGGCGGUUGCGUAAGUCGGAUGUGAAAACUCAGGGCUCAACCCUGAGACGCCAUCCGAUACUGCGCUGACUUGAAUCCAGUAGGGGAGUGCGGAAUUCCUGGUGUAGCGGUGAAAUGCGCAGAUAUCAGGAGGAACACCCAUGGCGAAGGCAGCACUCUGGGCUGGUAUUGACGCUGAGGAGCGAAAGCAUGGGUAGCGAACAGGAUUAGAUACCCCCGUAGUCCCUGAGCGGGCUGGCAAGGCGCAU
rnacentral:rRNA from 1 species